rnacentral:misc_RNA from 1 species
CACCAGGUAUCCAACUAUACAAAUAGUUCAUCCACUUUUACUGAAAAGUAGCUGUCGCUUAAUUCUAAAAUGGAUUAUAUACUUAAUUCUUUCGGUAAUAUGUCUUCUUUCCAUAUUUGUGGAUGUAGUGAAAAUUGGUAAAGCUGAAGAGACGAGGCUCGAUACCAAACGAGGCACUGUUAUCGGGGAGGCAGAAUUUGUAGAAUUCAAUGGGGAAUACAAACCAAUCGUUCGCUUCCUUGGAAUGCCAUAUGCCAAGCCUCCUGUUGGUGAAAGACGAUUUACUAAACCGGAACCGUAUGGAAACUUCACAUCGCUUUACAACGCAACAUUUCACAGACCACACUGUAUGCAGACGAGAUUAUCUUUAAAUAUAUAAAGGACUAUCAACAAGACGAGGAUUGUCUGUAUCUUAAUAUUUACAUACCGGGAAAUUACAGUUAUUCCGCACAGAGCCAUGCAGUCAUGAUUUAUAUACAUGGGGGAGGAUUUCUUGACGGUGGUGCCGAUAUCUACGUCGGUGAUAAACUUAGCGCCUUUAAUGACAUCAUCGUCGUUGCAAUUAACUACCGGUUAAACGUAUUUGGUUUUCUGAGCGACGGAGCAAAUUUGCGAGGUAAUUUCGGUCUCUGGGAUAUGAAGCUCGCAAUCCAGUGGGUACAUGACAACAUCAAUGAUUAUGGUGGUGAUCCAACAAGAGUGACAUUGUUCGGGCAGUCUGCUGGAGGAGCGGCCGUUAUGUACCAGGCUAUCAAUCCCAACAACCGUGGUUUGAUUCAUCGUGUUAUUGCGCAAAGUGGGAGUAUUUUUGGCUAUUGGGCACUUCAGAGGAAAACUGCCAAAACUUUUGAUUGGUUUGCCUCGAGCGUCAACUGCAGCUCAAGAUAUAUCUCUGAAACCAUGAAAUGCCUUAGAUCGAAACCCGCGACAGACUUGAAAUUACAUGAAAACGAAUACGUUUUACAGUUUGUGCCUAAUGUAGAUUCAGAAUUUUUACCAGAGGAGCCUGAAGCAUUAUCAAAGAGAAAUUCUGAAGCAGGCAGAGCCGCCAUGAAAUUUUUCUCAGAAAUAGAUUUCUUAAAUGGUGUCACGAGCAGUGAUGGCAAUUUUGCUCGAGAAUAUUGGGCAGCUUGGAUGAAGUACGAAAAGAUAGAUACUGAUGAGAAUAUCAGCAAAGGAGUCCCGAAGUCGUUUCUUACAGACAUAUACAUUCCAGAUAAAUUGUCCCAAAUGUUCGACAACAUUCCCGACACGUUAAAACGUUCCGUUGUUUUUCAGUACACAGACUGGUCAAAUGACACCGAUCCUUUCCUGGUGAGAUCGGAGUUGUUACAGUUUGAGUCGGAUACAGUUUUCUUUGUCCCAUCAUCAAUUUCCUCAAGAGUUCACCAACGAUCAAAGGGAAACCAAACAUCGGGAAGCAGUUACUUUUACGUAUUUGAUCACAAGCCAAGCUUUGUACCGGACCCAGAUUGGUUGGAAGGCGCAACACAUGUAAUGGACUUGGCCUACAUCUUUGGAUUUCCAAAACCUUUACAGUCCAAGUUAAUAAAGGAUUAUCAUGCUGUGGAUCCGUUCAAAGUUUUACCAGAAGAUUUUGUAUUUUCAAAAGUCAUGAUGACAUUCUGGAGCAAUUUCGCUAAAACAGGAAAUCCGAACUUGCCGGUUCCAAAUGACGAUAACAAUAUACCUGUGUGGCCGACAUUCGACUUAAAAGAUGAGGCAUAUUUAAGCAUAUCUACAAAUAUGUCAUCAGAGUCAGUACAACAUCAUUUUGAUGGGGAGAAAGUUGCAUUCUGGGAAGGAAUAGUUCCUUUGCUAACAGAUUGUAAUGACCAAGACACUACUUCGGCUGCAUUUUCUGUGCAAAAUGUGCAGUGGCUUCUCUAUGUUUUCAUGUUGUGUGCUUUUGUUUUUAUGAGCUAAUAAUGUUUUUGGUGUACUAACAUUUUAUAAUUUUUUGUCAACAUUUCGAUGAUUUUGACGCAAAAUGGGUCCAUCUGACAAUUGUUAGCAAAAUCCCCUUUUCGCAUAUUUGGAUUAAGCAUAAUGAGACACGCAUUCUACAAAAGUAUUAUGACUAAAUUUUAUUAUUAAAUUAUAUAAUUUCUAAUUAGAAAAUAAGUAAUUCUGAAUUGUAUCAAUGUUAUAAUGCAAAAUAGGUUUAUCCACACUUGGACUUUUUUGACAGAUUAUAGUAUUGCUAAAUGUAUAUAGACCAGGAACCAGUUGCUCGAACUUUAACAGGUGAUUAAGCUUGAAUGUUUCUCAUUGCAGAGUUGGUGCAGCCGUUCUGCGCCUGCGCGGAAUUAUUAUCAAAUGGAACGCACGGCAAAAAUACUCAUUUUUUUGCAUGUCCACACGCAUUUAGUGUAUAAUGUGCA